rnacentral:rRNA from 1 species
CGGAUAGAGUCGGCGUAUCAUUCAAUUAUUCAGUUACAUUAUUUUUAUGUUGUGACCUCUGAGCUCCAGAUUGGGACAGAGGGAAUCAGCAUAAUUUUUUGUGGUGCAUUUACUUGAUUGGUGCUUGGGGAUGUUUGAGGCAGAUUUGUUUCCGUCGUUUUGAGGCCAGCUUGCUGGUACCCAAACGGUGUUAGCAUUUUUUGUCUUGGGCAUUUGAGUAUGGCUCACGUGUAUUUAUUGGACAGAUCUGAGUGUAAGUUACGGUCGCAUGCGACACGUGCUUUUCAAUUAGUUCGGUCCAGUUAAUGCUCUCGUACUCGUUCCCCAUGUAAAAGCCGGUCAUCUAUCCGACCCGUCUUGAAACACGGACCAAGGAGUUUAUCGUGUGCGCAAGUUUUUGGGUGUUAAAAACUUAAAAGCGAAAUGAAAGUAAAUGACUCUUUAGAGUCUGAUGUGCGAUCUUGUAAAAAAGUGUAGCAUGGCCCCAUUCUAACUGUUUACAGUAGGGUGGCGGAAGAGCGUACGCGGUGAGACCCGAAAGAUGGUGAACUAUUCCUGAGCAGGACGAAGCCAGAGGAAACUCUGGUGGAAGUCCGAAGCGGUUCUGACGUGCAAAUCGAUCGUCUGACUUGGGUAUAGGGGCGAAAGACUAAUCGAACCAUCUAGUAGCUGGUUCCUUCCGAGGAA